rnacentral:rRNA from 1 species
CCUACGGGUGGCAGCAGUGGGGAAUAUUGCACAAUGGGGGAAACCCUGAUGCAGCGACGCCGCGUGAGCGAAGAAGUAUCUAGGUAUGUUAAGCUCCUUUAGUAGGGAAGAAAAUGACGGUACCUGAGUCAGAAGCUCCGGCUAAAUACGUGCCAGCAGCCGCGGCAAUACGUAUGGAGCAAGCGUUAUCCGGAUUUACUGGGCGUAAAGGGAGCGUAGGCGGCCUUGCAAGUCUGAUGGGAAUUACCGGGGCUCAACCCCGGGGCUGCAUUGGAAACUGGCAGGCGGGAGUGACGGAGAGGCAGGCGGAAUUCGUGGUGUAGCGGUGAAAUGCGUAGAUAUUAGGAAGAACACCAGUGGCGAAGGCGGCCUGCUGGACGGUGACUGACGCUGAGGCUCGAAAGCGUGGGGAGCGAACAGGAUUAGAUACCCCGGUAGUC